GUAGAUUGAAGAUAAUUCUGCAUAAGAUAGGGACUCCUUAUCUAAGUCCUUACUUUUUAAAUGUGUCUUUUGGUUACCCUUUCCCCAAUGCUAUGGUGGCAAAAUAUGGUUGGAAUAUUUUAAUACUAAUAUCAUUAAUAAUAAAUUUUAUACUCCUCUGGUCUUCAGCUUGAAAGUAAUUAAAAGGUCAAAGAUUUUCCUUUUUAUUACUGGAACUCAUUCGUAUUUAGUACUACUACUAAAACCAAGUUAGUUUGGCACACAGCCAAUUUCUUUCAUUGAUAGACUUCAUGUCUCUACAUCAAAAGUUAAAACUCUUCUUGAAAUCUGAUGAACAGGGCUUCUUAGAGUGCUCCACUUGAGGGACAGAGAGGCACACUCUUUCCAAAUGCCCAAGGACUGGCUGUUGGCCUCCUCCUUGCUCCAGUUUAUCCAUCCCCCUUUUCCGGCCCUGCAUAUCUGUUAAGGGAAGGCAGCCAGUGUAAUACCUACAAGUGAGGCUGAUGGAAAACAGAUUGUUCAGCACAACAAUGGUGACAGCCAGAAAGCCAUGGCCCAGCCUAGUCAUGUCACCUGAGCAGGGUCAAACUACAACUCUUCUCUUCCCACCUUAGGACAGGAAAAUGCUCUAUCUUUCUAAAAACACAUCAGACAAACAGCAAUAAAAAAUAAAUAAAAUAAAAAUAAAAAACCAGCCCUGCGGGCAGUUCCUACCUUCUAUUUUUAUGUAGAAUAUCGUGCCUUAUUAUAAAUGAGUUUGAAAACUGCUCUCCAACCAGAUGGGGUUUGGGCUAUUACUAUUCAAGCUUGGUAUGAUAUUAGAAAAAAAAAUAACUGCCUUAUAUUGCACCUUAAAAAUAUCAAGACCCUAUCACUUGAGUAAGAAACUAGGUGGCCUAACUACAACAUUAUAGCAUACAUCUAAGAUGAUUAAAAACCCCGAAGAAAUGUGCAAAUCCAAUUCAGAGGUAAAAAUAAGAUUUUAAGAUUAUAUGGUCUGUGUACAAAAAUAGGUACUAACUGUCUGGCGAGCUAAGAUCAAAAUAGCUUCAACAGCACACCCUACUGUGAAGUUUGUUUUGUAAAGCCUACUCGUUGGUGACAAGCCUACAUUCUCUGUGAAUAUGGCGUUUAGUAUUUCUUUUCAACACAAACCUAAGCCUCAUGAGCCAAAGUUGCAUUUUGACUCCCAGCUAUGGUGGCGUUUUAGGGAAUCUCACAGUCAAAGUCAAAGGUUUCUGUUAUGUAUUAGUAAAGUAUAGAUUAUUGGGGCCUACAUAAUUUAAAGAAAUGUAAAUUAAUAUUAAAAGCUUGUAAAAAUAUGUACAUCUUUACUAUUUCUCAAUAAAUACCUUUGCAACUGU
rnacentral:lncRNA from 1 species